AACGAACGCUGGCGGCAGGCCUAACACAUGCAAGUCGAACGAGAAGCUGGCUUCGGUCAGUGGAGAGUGGCGCACGGGUGAGUAACGCGUGGGAAUUUGCCUUUCGGUACGGGAUAACGU
rnacentral:rRNA from 1 species